AUGCCUUAAACUGAUGAGUAAGGAAAAUAACAGCGCGGGGUGACGCCCGUGUCCUCGCCAACACAUGCGAGAAGAAUUUUUGAGAGGGUAUAGGUCUGUUUGCUGAGGUGACUCGCUUACUUUGCAAGAUGCCUUGUAAACUAGGAUCUACCCU